rnacentral:rRNA from 1 species
GAUGAACGCUGGCGGCGUGCCUAAUACAUGCAAGUCGAGCGAACAGACGAGGAGCUUGCUCCUCUGACGUUAGCGGAGCACGGGUGAGUAACACGUGUAUAACCUACCUAUAAUACUGGGAUAACUUCGGGAAACCGGAGCUUAUCCCGUAUAAUAUAUUGAUCCGCAUGGUUCAAUAGUGAAAGACGGCUUUGCUGUCACUUAUAGAUGGAUCCGCGCCGCAUUGGCUAGUUGGUACGGUAACGGCUUACCAAGGCAACGAGGCGUAGCCGACCUGAGAGGGUGGUAGGCCACACUGGAGCGGAGACACGGUCCAGACUCCUACGGGAGGCAGCAGUAGGGAAUGUGACGCAAUGGGCGAAAGCCUUACGGAGCGACGCCGCGUGAGUGAUGAAGGUCUUCGGAUCGUAAAACUCUGUUAUUAGUGAAGAACAAAUGUGUAAGUAACUAUGCACGUCUUGACGGUACCUAAUCAGAAAGCCACGGCUAACUACGUG